GAUGAACGCUGGCGGCGUGCCUAACACAUGCAAGUCGAGCGAUUCUCUUCGGAGAAGAGCGGCGGACGGGUGAGUAACGCGUGGGUAACCUGCCCUGUACACACGGAUAACAUACCGAAAGGUAUGCUAAUACGAGAUAAUAUGCUUUUAUCGCAUGGUAGAAGUAUCAAAGCUUUUGCGGUACAGGAUGGACCCGCGUCUGAUUAGCUAGUUGGUAAGGUAACGGCUUACCAAGGCGACGAUCAGUAGCCGACCUGAGAGGGUGAUCGGCCACAUUGGAACUGAGACACGGUCCAAACUCCUACGGGAGGCAGCAGUGGGGAAUAUUGCACAAUGGGCGAAAGCCUGAUGCAGCAACGCCGCGUGAGCGAUGAAGGCCUCGGUCGUAAAGCGUCUGUCCUCAAGGAAGAUAAUGAC
rnacentral:rRNA from 1 species